CGUCUAUAUACGUAUAGAUAUCAAUAAGCGGAGGAAAAGAAACUAACUAGGAUUCCCUCAGUAACGGCGAGUGAAGCGGGAAGAGCUCAAAUUUGAAAUCUUCAAGGUUCUACCUUGACGAAUUGUAGUUUAAAGAAGUGUUUUCUGUUGGAGUUUUGGUAAAAGUUCUUUGGAAUAGGACAUCAUAGAGGGUGAGAAUCCCGUAUUUGACCAUUAUUUCCAACUUUGUGAUACACUUUCAAAGAGUCGGAUUGUUUGGGAAUGCAGUCCAAAAUGGGUGGUAAAUUUCAUCUAAAGCUAAAUAUUGGCGAGAGACCGAUAGCGAACAAGUACCGUGAGGGAAAGAUGAAAAGAACUUUGAAAAGAGAGUUAAACAGUACGUGAAAUUGUCAAAAGGGAAGCGUUUGACACCAGUGUUGUUUUCUCGAAAAUCAAUUAAAAAUGGUGGGAUUUUGUGUUGUAUUGACUUUAUCAGCUUUCUGCACUUUUUUCCUGUCUUUUUUAAUGCACUUUUCGUUUAACAAGUCAACAUCAAUUUCUUUUGUUGUAAAAGAGUCAUUGGAAGGUGGCUUUCUUUUCGGAGAAAGUGUUUAUAGCCUUUGACUUCUGCAAUCGGAGAGAUUGAGGUCUGCAGCGUAGAUCCUUCGGGGUUAGAUACAUUUGUGCUAAGCUAUAGCCUUUCAUAGACAACUUGUUGACUAUGAUCAGUCAUGUAGCUUACUCGCUUAUGCUAUUUUACCUACGCUUAGGAUGUUGACGAUCAGCUGAGCGCG
rnacentral:rRNA from 1 species